UUCUAAGGCUGUUAGUCUUUAAAGAAUGGCAAAGCCCAGGAGUGAGUUCGUCUGCUACUGCGAAGCCUGUUUCCUCCUCAUGAGAGGUGGAGCGGUGGUUCCCAAACACGAUGUGGGAAGUGUGUUAAAAUGCAGAUCCUGGGCUCGACCCUGAAGCUCUUCCGGCAUCCACCUUCCCAGGUGACCAGACUCUGGGGAAGGCAUCACCUCAAGACUCCUGCACCCUUCCUCCAGAGUCCUGGGAUUCAGCUAAAUCCUGGGAAGGUGCCUGCCUCCCUGCUGCGCCUGGCCACGUGGAAACCCCUGUAGCUCCCUGGCUGUGCAGGAGCAGCCACAGUGUGCCCCUCCCAGGACCACCAUCCCCCUCACUGUCUCUGAGGCACCUGCGUGGACCGGGUCUGGAUUGAGUCUCAUUUCUCUGGAUUCCCACGGCAGCCGGCGGCUGCCUCUCCCACACCCGUCACUCUGUGUCAUGGAAAGCUGUGUGUUUGUCUUCAUUCCCACCGAGUCUGAGCCACUCGAGGUCAGGGCCAUGACCGUGAGCUACACGUCCUUGGCGCCCAGUGUGAGCCGUGUACAGUAGAGGCUGACUGACGUCUUGGAGGCAGAAGUGAGUACAUAACUGACAAUUGCUUAAAGUCGGCCGGGCCAAGGUUUACAGACCGGGAGGAUCAUCAGACGCGGGUGGGGCACAGUGGGGUGGGGGGAGGUUCCCAAGGCUGCUCAUCAAUGGAGUCUGGAGAUGGCUGCCUAGGGGUAGCCUCUGAAACGUUCUGGAACAACCUCGUCCUGUCACAGCGUGGCUAUGAGGGGACCCUCACCUGGAGGCCUUGGGUGAUGUGUUAGUUUCACAGCCACACAUCAGCAUGGGCCUGUGUCCCCCAGGCCACACGUCGGCAUGGGCCUGUGUCCCCCAACCCACGUGUCAGCAUGGGCCUGUGUCCCCCAACCCACGCUUCAGCAUGGGGCAUGUCCCCCAGGCCAUGCGUCGGCAUGGGCCAUGUCCCCCAACCCACGCGUCAGCAUGGGCCCCGUGUCCCCCAACCCAUGCUUCAGCAUGGGGCAUGUCCCCCAGGCCACGCGUCAGCAUGGGCCAUGUCCCCACAUAGGUGAGUCCCUGAUGCAGGUUGGGUCCCCGGGGAAGCUCACUCAGAGACAGAAGAGUGUUUAUUGGUGGCGGGGCAGUGCUCUUGGGUUUAGGGUCUGUGAAGGGAGAGAAGGAAAGCCAGUGGGGUAGAGGGAGUCGUCGGGCAGUGAUGCCCUAACCGCUGGUCCCUGGGGAAGCUCUGGAGCUGGCACACCCCUUCAGGGUUGUCCCGAGUGGAGCCUGGGGCCAGGCCUUUAUCCACAGUGUGGGCCGCCACCAGGUGCAGGUGCCCAGGAGGGGCGUGUUAUGGGUUGAAUUGUGUCCCUCCAAAAAGAUACAUUCAAGUCCCAAGCCCCGCUACGUGUGAAUGUGACAAAUCCACUGUAGAAACCAGCAUUCAGAUCUCAGGUCUGCACAGCUGAAAUCAGCAUUCAGAUCUCAGCUCUGCACAGCCGAAACCAGCAUUCAGAUCUCAGGUCUGCACAGCCGAAACCAGCAUUCAGAUCUCAUCUCUGCACAGCUGAAACUAGCAUUCAGAUCUCAUCUCUGCACAGCCGAAACCAGCAUUCAGGUCUCAGGUCUGCACAGCCGAAACCAGCAUUCAGAUAUCAUCUCUGCACAGCCGAAACCAGCAUUCAGAUCUCAUCUCUGCACAGCCGAAACCAGCAUUCAGAUCUCAGGUCUGCACAACCAAAACCAGCGUUCAGAUGUCAGCUCUGCACAACCACAACCAGCAUUCAGAUGUCAGCUCUGCACAACCACAACCAGCAUUCAGAUCUCAAUUCUGCACAACUGUGAUCACUAUUGAGAGCAGUGACUGUUACAUGGAUUUAGAGACACGUUGUGGGGGUUAUACGACCACGUAUUACUGUGCAAAAAGACGUCACUCAAGCCCAUUAGUGCAGAGGUUCCUUUAACUGUGGAGGAUUAAAUCAAGGAAUCAGAGAUUGUUUACGCCGGAAGGGACUUUGAGGUGUUCACUUAAUUGGAAAGCAGGUCAUCGUGGGCCCUCCAUGGGUGUUGGUAUCCACUGAAACUCCAAAUCCCAUCCAGGGGAGGCUGACACAGGCACCAGGUGUAAGGCCCCACCCCAGCCGGGCUCACCUCUGCGGGCAAGCCUGGGGCCUGGCCGGGAAGCCCAGCAUGGUGCGUGUGAAUGCUGUGGUGGGGGGGCGCCCCAAACUCCCCCUCCAAGACAGAGGCACAGGCAUCGCCUCCCAGGACUCACCUGGAGGGGGCUGCCUGGCGUAAGCUCAUGCUCCUCCCGUGCCACCUGCUUUAGUGGCUGAUUGCUAUGCCAGGUAACGUCAGGGCCACCUGCCUGAUUCAGGCUGCUGUGCAGCCGCGCAGACUCAGAGCUGCCUGUGAGCCUGGCUGAGGCCUUUACUGCUCAUUCCCACUGCCCUCACCCCUGGCGGGGGCUGGUCUCCAGGGCACCCCCAUAAUCCACUUGCACCCAGAUCUCCGUCUCCAAGUGCGCUCCAAACCCAGCCCCAGCGUGUGGACAAUGGCAUCCUUCUUGCACAUGCUGGGGUAAUUGAUGGCUGUAUCUGCUCUGAGACGGCAGAGUGGGCUAGCUCCCAGCCCCAACAAACGGCCCUCUGCGCCCUCCACACACACUCAGCAUAGGCUCAGCAGCCUGGGGAAGAAGAAAGCCGCUCUGCUCCGUGCUCUGGGUGCCCAGCCCUGUGAACAGCACGGGGUGUCCCCACGGCUCACUGUGCCUCCUCCUGGCCCAUGUCCACUCCGGCAUGCUGUUCACAGACACGGCCCAGGCCUCUGUCCCCACAGCUUUAUUAUUUUUUAAAUGUUAUCAGUUAUUUAAUUAGGUUCUUAAGAAAUUUAGAACACCAAUUUGUGAGGAUAAAUUCCAUUCCUCAGAACAAACACAGAUCUCAGGUAGCCCU
rnacentral:lncRNA from 10 species